rfam:Chlamydomonas reinhardtii strain CC-503 cw92 mt+ CHLREscaffold_15 genomic scaffold, whole genome shotgun sequence.
GGGAGUUUGGUCUAGUGGUAUGAUUCUCGCUUAGGGAAGCCUAGCAUGCGAGAGGUCGUGGGUUCAAUUCCCGCAACUCCCC